CGCGAGAGUGAUGAGUUGCACGUUGGUGUGGCCACAGCAUCGGGUGAUGUGGGCUGCACUCAGUAGCAGUCUGGUGACAAACCAAGUGCACAGGGGCCAUCUGACUCGCG
ensembl:snoRNA